rnacentral:rRNA from 1 species
AGUGAACGCUGGCGGCAGGCCUAACACAUGCAAGUCGAACGGCAGCACAGUAAGAUCUUGCUCUUACGGGUGGCGAGUGGCGGACGGGUGAGGAAUACAUCGGAAUCUACUUUUUCGUGGGGGAUAACGUAGGGAAACUUACGCUAAUACCGCAUACGACCUACGGGUGAAAGCAGGGGAUCUUCUGACCUUGCGCGAUUGAAUGAGCCGAUGUCGGAUUAGCUAGUUGGCGGGGUAAAGGCCCACCAAGGCGACGAUCCGUAGCUGGUCUGAGAGGAUGAUCAGCCACACUGGAACGGAGACACGGUCCAGACUCCUACGGGAGGCAGCAGUGGGGAAUAUUGGGCAAUGGGCGCAAGCCUGAUCCAGCCAUACCGCGUGGGUGAAGAAGGCCUUCGGGUUGUAAAGCCCUUUUGUUGGGAAAGAAAAGCAGCAGGUUAAUACCCCGCUGUUCUGACGGUACCCAAAGAAUAAGCACCGGCUAACUUCGUG